AUGUUGUACGAAAGGNGAGGAGGUUGGCGCUCCCCUCAAUAAGGACGGGAGAGCCCUGCGGCCUGUGCAGCAGGCGUAUGGUUAGGCAUUGCCAGGUACUGCAGAGUGGCAUCUGACUAUAUUAA
rnacentral:ncRNA from 1 species